UUUCUAGGAUCAGCAAAGUGGGGGAGGUUGUACAGCCCCCAUUUGGGUCCAGCGUACCUGGAAGAAGACUUACAUGAAUUAUACUAAGACCUAAAUCCCGAGGCUUACGAGUAAAUAAACAUCUCUCCAUCGCAUCACAGCCACCCUUUCAUUUCACCGGAGACAGCUGCUCUAACUGCCCCAAGCAUGGAGGAGGGGGUCAAAAAUUAGGGGAAAAAAAAAAAAAAGUAAAAAUAAAGAACCGAGUACAAGUGGAAGGCUUGGCGGCUUUUAACGCGAUUUCCCACGCUGGAGGAAGGGAGGGGGGGUUAAAAAGAACGGCGGAGAAGUGAGAGCGCUGCGGUGGGGGAGUGCUGGGUGAGGCCGGGCUGCGGGACAGCGCGCCCCGGGGAGCGAGGCCGAACCGAACCGAACCGAACCGUGCGGGGCCGUUCCCUCCCUCCCCGCUGCCGCGGCGGCCCCGGAGCGCGGGGGGCGGGCAGACCGGGCUCGCCUCGCCUCUGCUUUGGAGGGCGGGGGAGGAAGCGGAGCCGGCGGCCGCGGGUUGUUUUAGGGUUUGCUUUGGAGCGGGGAAGCCGGGAGCGCAGCCGGCGCGCAGAGCCCCGAGCCCGGGGGCGAAGUUCCGCUGCGGGGGCAGCCCGCCUUCUCCAACCCCUCCGCGGCACAACUUUCCUGCCCGGCCCCAGCAUGAACCAGACGGCCGGGGUGUCCAACAACGUGCGCUGCUCCAGCGGCAAGGGGCCCAAGGUAAGCGGGGCUGCCCGGUUCCCCUUUCUUCCGUCCCUAAACCCGUAGCCGGGAGCGCUUCCCCCAAAGCCGGAGCGGCAAUCCCCCCCCUCUCCCCUCCAUCCCAGCACUUCGCCAACUUCAGCGUUCCUUCUUGGCACCCGGGUUCACCCCUUCGGGGCUGUGGCUCGGGGAGGUGAUGACCGGGUUUGUAGGAACUAAAGAUGCUGCGGCCUCGCGGUCCCAAGCGCUGGAACGCUCCGAACUGGCGCUCCUGCUUCAAACGGGUUAAAAUGCUUUGAAGGGAAAGAUUAGUGCUGGUGUGUUGUGCGGGAUCAGGUAGAGCUGCCGUGUUCACUUCUUGCCACGGUGCGUUUGCCUACCCAGCAGAUGGAAAACAUAAAUAGCUGGGAUAAAGCACCUGAUUGUGCACUCAGCUGAAUGCAGCCAAGAUGUAAUUGGGUCCUCACACCUGAUUCCAGUCAAAUUUGAACUGUUUUUUUUUUUUUUCUUCUAGUACUAACUAGCAUGGCCCUUGUAUUUACCUAUAUGACAGUGCUACCCUAUAACGUUAAAUGGGAAUUGUGUGGGUUUGUGCCUUCUUGUAGGCAUUUCUAUUGAUGCUGCUUCUGCAACUCUUCAAAGCGUGUUUUGGUGUUUGUGUUUCUCUUUGGUGGGGUAUUAUUUACUUACUUAUUUAUCUGUUUUCUCCAAGGAUGUCAAAAACUGCAUUUUGUCAUGAGGUGUGUUCCUGUGCUGGCUAAUGGGAUGCACCUUAAAGGAAUGCAAAAUUUAUGGUUUGCUGGAAGUGGUGCUGUGGUAGCUUCUUAUAUUUUAUCACUAACACGGACUUCGUGUUCCAUCUUCUAGGCUUGAUGUCAUGUUAUUGUUUGAAAUGCCAGUGCUGCUGCUCACCUGGUUGGCAACUUUGUGUCUGGUCAGUGCAUACCCAUUUCCUGCAAGUUUGCAGGCUGAGCCACACAGAUUUAUAUCACACCUCUCCUGUAAAAUGAAUUCAGUCAUUGCUCCUUUUAUCAUCUGAUCUUUUAAGGAUUAAACCCAUUAAUCAUGCAUCUGCAUGAGUACUAAAAGAUGCUGCGUGAUGAGGGCUGUGGAAGUACACAAACAGUUCAGAUGAGUCUGCUGAAACUGUUUACUUAGCUCCAUGACUAAUCAUAUAUUUCAAGUUAAACCCAUUCAUGAGCACUUUGCAUAAUCAGAGAGCCUGAAAUUGGAGGUCCUUCAUGGAUCUUGCCUGUAAUUUCAAAGCUGAGCCUCCUUUCUUUGUACAUCUUGGUUUUGUUUGAGUUUUGGGUUGAACAGCAAGUGUUAUUGAGUAUCAGUAAUAAUUUAUUUUAUCAAGCUGCUAACCUAAUGCUUUAAUGCACAGGGAGGAGAUGGGGCUAAAAUGGUUGUAUUCUUAGCACAUGAUAAUUGGUACGUUUGUUGUCGUCUUGAAGGCAUCCUCAUUUUAUUUUCUGUAGGAAAUGCAUGUUUUUCCAUUGGAAAUAAAUGUAUUUUUUUUCAAGUCAGAAGAUUGACAUGAUUGAUGGUUUCAGGUUUUUAAUUAAAACAUAGAAAGCUCCAUGCACGACUGAUUCCAGGAAGAGUUCCGAAAUGGAACUGUAUAAAACAGGACUGAAAAACAAAGAAAACCCCAAUGUAAUAGACUAGAAAAGAGGCAGAAUGAAGGAGUGUUUUGUCACGCUGACUUCUGAAGCAUGGAAAUGCUUGUGAGACAUUAUUUUCCCCCCCAGAAAACCAGAUAUUAAACAACAACAAAACAUACAGAACUUUUCUGACCUUCCUGAUCUCUUAACUUCUUAACUCAUUGGCCAGUUUUAAUCAAAUCUGACAGAAUAAAAGUGUUGCAAACAUUGACUUUCUACAAGUGUCAUGGAAGUCGAUUGCUUAGUAGAGAAGAAUAACUAUUUGAUACCUGAGCAGGAGAAGAAGCAGGGGGAGAUCUGCCCUUACCUCCUUUUCUUGCACUUUCACAUUAGCUCACUCAGUGCUUGGAUAUAAAAAACACUGAGGACUGUUUAAAGACUGGGAGAGAAUGGGAGAAAGGAACGAGUGCAGAAUAAAUUCCCAGAAAAAGUGGGAGUUGUUGGUAGGAGAGUAGCAGUGAUGUGUGAGAGCUGGGGUAUUUGCAAGAGGGAUUGGGUUGUGCCAGUACUGUGGGUUGGAAAUCCAUUGCAAGUCAAACAUUGUUAUUUUCUUUGUUCAUGACAUAAGGUGGGGUUUUUUUUUGGUUCUUUUUUCUCUUCUCCCCUCCAAAAUACAUUGGCACUGUGUGUCAUCUGAAGGGCAGCAAUUGCCAAGUCACCGGGGCAAGGUCACUCUUCCUGGCUUCGCUGAUUUUUCAUCUCACUAGGCAAUAAGCACUGAGACUCCAACUUCCCUCUGCAGGAUUUACAGCUUUGCUCAGAUGCAAUGAGCAGUAGACGCAACGUUCUAAAAAGAGGGAUACUAUUAAGGGCCUUAAGUAAAUAGCUUGACUAUAAUGCCAAAUUGUAGUAAUGCAUAACUACUAAAACAUAUAUAUAUAUAUAUUGCUACUGAGAGAUCACAAUUUGUUGAUUAGACAGAACUAUAUUGAGAAGUAGUUUGUGUACAUACGGCUUCCAAUGCUCUUUUCUUCUGCCUAUGACUAAUCCCGUUGCCUUUCCUAAGACAAUUUGUGGGAGGAAGGCAAAUGGAUUCGCCCCAAUGCUAUAAUGAAAAGCUUUGUUGUGGGAAUAUUUCUGUCAUGUUUGGGUGCCUGGGGUAGUGAGCCUUACACUGCUGGGAGUCUACACAAAACCAGCCACUCCUCUUGUGUGGGCUAGGAGGAGGCUUCAACUCUAAGGAAGAAGACUUUUUUGGAAAGAUGGUUCACUUAUUUAGAUACAGGCAUAAGAAUUUGGGGGUCAGUUCCCAGUUGUCUCAUUUCGACAGGUUUCUUGAAGGAUUUAACAAGGGCUAGCUCCAUAUGGGGGCUCAGGCACUUCAACACUGCACAGUGCAGUUCCUGGCUCUUGGCUUUCAUUCAGUAGUGCGGAGCCUUGUGCCAGCUGAUAUGAGGCACAGAAGUUGUCUUAGAUUUUACUUCUUUUAUUAGAUUAUUUACCAAAGUAGGUGUUGUAGGAAGAAAUUCGUUUCAUAUUGGGACUCUGAAUUUCAUCCAUCUCGAGGGAGGAAAGUCUAAAGAAAACAUUGGGUGUCAUUUCUUUCUUUAGAAAGGAGUAAUUUCUGGGUUGGAGCCCAUCUGUGUACAGUGAGCAAGGAGGUAUCCCAGCGAGCAGGAUUUGUGGAUCUGGUGUCAUUUUAAGUGAUGAUGGGGAUUCAGAGCCUCAUGAGCUCCUAUCCUUUGGGAAACGGCAGUAGGUAGCAGGAGACUGGCUGCUCCACAGCAGGAACGUUCCUGUCUGCCCCCCUGGAGAUGGGCCAGUGCCUGUUCUUCAGUGAGGGGAUGGGGGUGGAAAUCCUCAAUGCCUCCUGGGGACAGAAGGAUGCACCAUCUCUUUGCUUUGUACGAAAAUGUAUUUAUCCAAACUGUUGGCAGCUAUGCACAAUCUGCAGGGUAAGGUUUGAAUCCCCCAGCUUCCUGCAGCAGCCUCAUCUGUAGAUUUGUGCUUGCUGGUUGGCACUACGCUGCUGCUGCUGAGUCCAUCUCUUCUGGCUUCUCUCUGACUGUAUCUUUGAAUGAAUAUAGCUGUGGUAGCUGUUUUGUGUGGAGCUGACUUGGACACAGUAUACAUCUUUCGUGUCAGGUCUCCUGUUGCCCCAUCAGAUAUGGGUGCAGCUUCUUUGGUGUACACCAGUAAACAAGAUAUGACCCCAGCAUCACGUCAGCAAUGAGUACUGAAAUAGCCUGCAUGCGUUCUGGGGGUAAUGCUUUCAUUUCGCUACCUAAAUUGCAGUGAUGGUUUGUUAGACGUUUACAUCUUUGCAUGGAUCUAGGCUUUAAUUUAUUCCUGAUUCAGAUCCCAGUGGGUGGGUAGAAGAUGAGUGUUUUCUUCUCCCAACAGGAGUGAUAGGAACCACUCAGACUAUAGUAAAAAGAAACAACACUGUGUUAAAACUGAACUACUAGUGUGUGUUUCCAUCAUGGCUUUCCUAGCUGUGUCUUAAAGGGCAUGUUUUAUGCUAUAACAGAUGCUAAGCAAUCACUCUUCCUCUCUUACCUUUAAGUAUGCCUACACCUUAAGAAAAGCUCAUUGAAUCAAAGUAUUGAGGUUGGGACAUCUGCCUGAGUAACUGUAACUUGAUUUUUAAUCAGCACUAAUGAAUGCCUGAGGAUAGCAGCAAAUCACUUGGAUAGAGGUUUUGUUUUGCUUUUAGUUUUGUGUUUUUUUCCUUUUAAAGGAGAGACAAUUGUACUAAUUAUCAAUUUCAGUACGCAAGAAAGUAGAUAGGAAAACAACUCAAUGAAGUAAUUUUAAUUCUUUGUAAAACUAAAAUAUGUGAGAGUAAGCUGAACUGGAUUUUACCUCUGCUUGCUCUCCCAUUAUUUUUUAAAAAGCAAUGUUAACCUGUAAGAAAAAGAAACUGUAUAUUUCGUGUGUCCCUUCAAAACAGGAUAUUUGCAUGGAGUUGCCCUGAUCUUAAGGGGCAGCUCAAACAGUUGUGGUCAAAUGUCAAUAAUGCCCUUUAAACACGAUAUUAAAGAGGUUAUUAUUAUUAUUUUUUUUAAUAGUAGCUUAUUCUUCAAACUGUUCUUUAAUAAGACAUUAUUGUAUCUGCACUUGAUGAACCUAACUCUCUUUUGCGUGAAUGAUUGCACCUAUUUGAAAUUUUCUUAUUUCAGUUGAAUUACUGCUUACUUAUUUUGGUUUAAUUGUGGAGAUUCAAUACCUCUAAAAUUAUGAAAGCAAUAGAGUCGUAGUGUCUUAGCACUUCUGGAUGCAGAAAAUACAGAUAGGGAAGCUGUUGUAGCUCCUGUCUGUUAUUGCUGAAGCGGAAACAAGUUCUUGCACAUUUUACUUGCACACUGAUUUUUACUGUGUGUGCCAAGUUACCAUGUAUGAGCACAACUAUGGAGUAUAUUUAUGAGUUGUCCAAUUUAAUACUCGAUCGGGAAUGUAAAGUUGACUUCUGUACCUAAUAAGUAUUAAAGUAGGACCUGGCAUGGCUGCUAGGGUUUUAUAGAAUGACCAGUCAGCUGUCUUCAAAAUCCAGCUCUACUUAACAGGCAGUUCCUUAAGAAGUCAUAUUUUCAUCUCAAAACAUCAGUCUUUAGAGUAGUCUAAUAUAGCAUUGCAUAAGCUUCCCAGCUAAGAUCAAGAGUUACUCCUGCUGGGUAGUCUAACCCUAUGGAAGCAGAAACAGUUCUUCCUUCAGAGAGCUUAGAAUUUAAGUUAACGAUAGAGGCAAAAAUCUGUGAGAAGGGGAGAAUCACUUUAAUUAUACAGACAGAGAAUUAAGCUGCUGAGUAUAACCUCCUAAACUUUACAGACGUAGCAUAAUAAUGAUCUUAAAUUCAGUGAAAACAGUUAGAGAAGGUAGCCUGCCAGUGAGUUUCUCUGACAUAGAAAAAGAAGGCAAAACUAGGCAUUGUCCACUUAAGAGCCAAUUAAUGCAUGUGCUGAUGAUAUCCCACAGAGAUAUCCCUCCCUACAAAAUAUGUUAUCCCUUUGCCCGCUGUAGGUGUUGGCAGGGGAGAGCUGGGGUCAAUUGAAAAUGGAGAACUGUGUUGACUUUGGAAAUCUGUAGACUUUGCUACUAGGAUUCUAGGAGUUGUUUUGGCUGCUCAUGGAGUAGCAUUUGUUUUAAUGUGGGGUGUGAACUGUGUAGUGUUGGUUCAACACUUUAUCCGUUUUUAGAGAACCUCCAACUCCUUUAUCCCUUGUGGAGGUUUUCUCACAAAGCAGCAGCAGAAGGCAAAGCCUGACAAAACUGAGAAACGUGAACUGUAAAUCAAGAACAAAAAAAUGGUAGGGAACUUCAGGGGAAGUGUUUGAAACUGUUUUUGUCACAUUCUCUCUCUUUUUGGUAAGCUGUAAGAUUUCAGUUGACAGCGUAUGGUGGAAGUGCUGAGUUACUGAGAGAGCUUCUGCUUCUGUUGGGGUAAAUGGAAAGACUUCAGAAAUUCCUAAAACUUUAAAGCAACGAAGCAUUAAGGAUUUUAUGAGUACUGACCAACUGUGGGAAAUUCUUGACUGUAACUCGCAUUAUUUCAGACAAUGAAAUCUACUUUCCCUGUAGUUCUCCCUGUACACCUGAUGAUUUUGUCAGUAAUUCCAGACAUAUUCCCUUGAGAGCUUCUUUGGACCAUCCUAGAGUCAGCUGUCCUGUAAAGUUUCCAUUAAUAGAAAAUUUCGCCAGGGGGAUGGCAAAAAUUUCAGUGGAAGUCUCCAAGUGUCCCUUGGAAGGAUAUGAAGGCAAAGGGAGAUGACCGGACUGACCUUAUAAAUUGACUGCUGAUCAAAAACCUACUGGUAGGGGUGAUGUUUUCCCCAAUUGGAGAGAAUGCAGUGGUGGAAUAGAACCUGUGAAAGAGUUCCUGCAGUGCUUAUUGAUGCUACUACUUCUCUUGGGUUUUUUUUUUUUUUUUGGUGAUGGGAAGUAAAAGGAGCAGGGUUGGUUGUAGUGUUGUGCAAGUGUGCACCAGCAAGAGUAUAAUUAGCCUGGAACAUCUGUUGUUUUAAGGGUCUGGAGAGACCAUGAGAAAAGAUCGGGAGAAGGACUGUCCUUUCACCAACAAAUGCUUGCCAGAAGCAUUAUGGCAGAGCUGUGCAGGGCUUGAGGGGUUCCAGCUGUGUGGGGGGUUUUGUUCUCCGUCUCUUCAGUGCCCUCUGACACAGGCAGCCUCAAGCUCUGAAUCUGAAUGAGCUCUGGGGAUCUGUGACACCAGAGCUAUCCUGCAACGGGUUUAUUUGUGGGUGCUGCUCUCUGCUGCUGUUUUUCAUCUUUAAUGAGAGCUGAACACACCAUAAAAUUUUAUUGGGUGUUUAUGCUAACAAAAUUAACUAACAGUUGGUGUUCUGAAAAAGCAGCCAGAGCUGUGAGCGCUAUAACUGGAAUCUGCAAUGGCUUUUUGACUGGUGUAGGACAGGGCAUAUGUGUAAGUACCAAUGUCACAUAACUGUAAACCACUUCAUAUUAACUUUUUAUUGACUAGAACUGAUUACUUGAAAUUUCAAGCGAAAUCUUAGUGUGAUGUGUACUAAAACAAAAUCAUGUUUUCAGGCAUUUAGAUAGCUAGAAACUGUGAAAAUGGUGUUGUUAAUUUAUAGUACCAAGACCAAUGGGCUGGCCAUCGAACUAAAUUAGUGUAUGAACUGGGUUGAAUAUCAGCCGGUGCUGAGAAAGAAGCAUGCAUUUACACAGGUACAGGAAGGUCUGAUUUGUAAUUCAUGGUGCCGCCAGAGACAAAGUUUGGUGUAAAGGCUUUUGAUAGCGCUCAAGAGAAAUGUCUCAAUUCAUGGAUUAAGCCCUGAGUUCCACUAGGUUGUUGGCCGAUGGGUUUUAGCUUUAUAUUUUUUUGUAUUGUCACUUUAUUAUAGAUUCCAGUUGAUUUUUGAGGCCAAACGCAGCUGUCAUCAUUCCUAAACAGGCUGCAUGUUUUCUUGGUCUUGAGUGUCUACAAUGAAAUCAGAGCAGUCAGUGCUAACUGCUCCAUACCAAGACUGGGACAAAUGCUUUAUGUGCACAUUUUAUGUGUUUUUUUUUCUUUUUUUCUUUCUUUGUUUUUUUUUUCUGUUGGCAAAAAAUUAUAGAAUCACAGAAUGGCUUGGGUUGGAAGGAACCUCAAAGGUCAUCCCUUUCCAACCCCCUGCCAUGAGCAGGGUUGCCAAAAAUAUGAAUGAGCACUUCCUUUGCAUGAUCUGCUAGCUCUUUGGUGGAGGAUAACAACUUUGUGACCCACUGAGUGGAAUUCCCAUUCUGUCUGUUCACCUUAUGUCGUGUUUAAAAUCUGAAGAGGAGCUUGUUAAAAUUAUGAAAUGGUGGGGUAUUGAGAAACACAGCAUAUACAGCACUUUCUAGGUGUUGUGUCUUCAAGUGGACAGAAUGAAAUAUGGUGCAGCAGUGGCAAGGCUCGUCAUCAAUGAGAGCCCCAGAGGGAAGUUUGGGGGCUAAUGAAUGUGCCAGGUGCUGGUCUCCUCCUAUCUCUGCCUGCAACUUGAAAAGGAACAGAACAUCAACGUUCUGAGGUCACAUAGCUUGCUUAUUUGCAGAUGGUAUCUCAAAUUGGAAUUCUAGGAGGAGGUAUAAAUUAUGGCAGACAGAUGUGUGCAGACAGCUGCUAAUUUACUGCUACUUAGGGCAGCAGAUACAUAAUGCGCUUCCUCAUCUCCCCCACCUUGAUGUAUUAGUUUAUGCUUUUAGGCUUUUGACUCUUCUUGGACUUCCCAUUAGUGUCCCAACAUCCUUGUACUUGCAGGUUUCUAGUGCAGGUUUUCUUAUUCAGGUAAGAUUUUGCUGGAUAGUGACCUCACACAGAGCCUUUGCCACUGCUUUAACUGUUCUCUGAAGUCGAAGAUCAGAUGGUUUUCAAACGAAACAUGUUCAGGAAAAGUCCAGCUGCAGGGACUCACUUCCUUCUAUUGUGCACUCCCUAGGAGCACUGGUUGCAUGUUGGGAUUCAAUUUUACUAGAGGCUUUGCAGCCAGAGAGCACAAUAUUAUUUCCUGCAUCAAAGAGCAUCCAUUUUAAAAUUUGUUCACUGGUUUAGGGUUCUCUCUCAAACUAAGGACUGUAUUCCUGGUGUUUUGUUCUUGUUCUUCAGCACUGAUUUCUGUGUGUGAUCCCAUUGAUUGUUAUGAGGCUUAUAUCGUGGUUGUGUCUGGAGCUCAAUGAAAGCGCGCACUGUAACACAUUUUGCUUGACGUGCAGUGUUGCCUGUCCUCUUGUCUGACCCCCCUGUGGCACAAUUAGUCUGCCAGCAGAGAGGCUGCCAAAGUUUUUCAGUCACUGGAAGUGUAGACAAUUGUUAUUGUUAUGGAUCUUCCACCGGGCUCAGGACUGCCCCUGGUUUUCCCAGGUUCUCCUCUGUGUGUGCUCUGUAUCUCCAUAUUUUCUUAUUUGUUCCCACGUUAAUCACUUGAGUUAUCUUGAUACUCCCAAAGGCUGCAGAGCAUCUUCCACUCCUUUAUUUGGGGUUUAUUCUUGCUUCCUUCCUGUGUCUCCUCUGCACCUACUGGUUUUCAUAGCAAAGAGAACACUGAAUAUUCCACAUUACAAAUAAAUUAGUUUUUUGUGAAUAAAGCUUGAUAGAUUUCCUUUAAGUAGUAAUAACAAUUUGAAGCUUUUUCUUCACCAUUUUAUGAGUGUUGCAGAUAAAGGACAUUCACGUUGUUAGUAGACCUGAAUACAGUGCUGAUGUGAUCUAUCCAACUGAUUCAGGUUGAAACAAUCUUUACAUAGUACUCUGAAAAGGUAAUGAUGGUUUCUGAUCACUACAGCGUGAGCUAUGGGGAAGGUAUUUUGAGCCACGGCUCAGAACUUGCACUUAAAAUUUGGAGCCACAUGUGGUCAUUGUAGAGCAUGCAAAGAUGUUAGCCAAGAGUGGAGAAAGGCAAGAAACUGGUUUGGGACCCUCAAAUUCAUGGCAGUGUUUCAGGUAUUUGAGUUCCUUCCCUCCCUUCCCCCUUCUCAAGCCAGUUGAAAACUUCAGUGCUUUUUUAUUACUUUAAUGGAAAGUAAUCAAUGCUGUGCACCAUCAUAGUAUGAUGAUCAAAAUACCUCAGAUACAAUAUUUUGCUGUCAAAUAUAGCUUUAAGUCACCUCCAAUGGCCUUUCUCAGGUACUCUCCUUCUGUAGCUUCAUUAUUUUUUACAGCAUACAUUUUGCAUCUGAAAAGUUCCAGUUUACAGCUGAUGUAGGCUAGCUGAAAGAGGCAAAAUUUUAUUGGUUUGCUUGUUCACUUAUUGUAACUGCAGGAGGGAGGUCUAUGUCUAAAUACUAAAUACUGGUGAUGUCAGCAGAAGAAACAUAUCUAAAUUUCUUGUGUGCUGAUGGAAGAAUUGCUCCUAAAGCUUUUUCUGUGUGUGAAGUUGAUUGUAGGACCCAGUAAGGAAAAACUGUGCUUUCUAGUGCUUAAAAUUUUAAUGGUUGCAGAAAAGUGGGUCUUCCAGCCCUUUAAAAUACAGUUUGUAGAGAUAUUAUCACAAAUAUCUUAGUAUUUCUUAAAAACUGCUUUCUUCUCACUUUCUUGUAAGCGCUUAUUAGAUUUGGGUUUUGAUGCAGAGAUCAUCCAGAAGAAAAAAAAAGUCAAAAUUUUAGCUAAAAGCUGACACUUCCAUAUAAUCUCAUUCUUUGGAAACAGAAAUUGUGAAGAGUUAGGGGAAAUCUAGCAAAUUACAAAGAAGUCUAACCACCUUUGUUCACAGUCUUAGCAAGUUAACAAAGACUGUAGUGCUGUUCGUAUGAAUGAUGACUGCAUUCAGCUGAAAAAUAGCCAUCCUUUGCAGAGGCUGAAGCAGUCAGAUGCACCCAAACACUGAAGUACGAUGAUUGCAUGUAAACGUUGUCAAAGCAAGGACAUAGAUUGAUCUUGUAUUGUGCAAAAGGUGUCUUCUGCCCCUUGAGGUGCCUGGAAGCCAGUCUGCACAUGCUUGUCAGUGGUUCCACAGAGUUCAUGUUACGGUGUUUGCCAAAAAUGGGUUUAUUUGAUGAUUGGGAAGGAUAUGUUAUUGCAUCAUUGAAAAGGCAGCUUUGUUCUGAUGUAUAAAUGAGAAGGAAUGUUCAUUUUUUGUCUAGAUGGUUAGCUGUGUUGUAACAGCUCUCCUAAGUAUCAUUGUAACAACGUUGCCAAGCAUGAAAUUUCAUGCAUUUUCCAAUUUCAUUUACUAAAGAAUUAUAAAAAUAAAAUAAUGCUCAAGUUUAUAGCCCAUAUUGCUACAGAGAUGUUCCAGUUUCCACGCCAGGGUGGAAAAAUACCAUCAGAGCAAUGCAGGGAUAUUUACGUGAAUCCUCAGAAACUGCAGUGUAUCGUUCUAACUGGACAAUUAAUGUAAGAUUAUCUUUGAAGGAUAGGACUCUGUUUAUGGAUUACAACACCAAUGUUUGUGUGUGUAAUUUCAGUUCAAAUGUAAUCUAGGGGCAGGAUUUUGCUAUAGUGAUGCUACACAAGAUGUGCCAGGUAUCCUUCCAGAUGCUGUACCAUGAGGAUAUGAAUUUCCAGCAGGUCUUGUGUUGCAUCUGCUUCCAACAGCAAUACAUCUUGGAGGUCCUGGGACAUCUCAAGUGAUUGUGGCUAUUUUCACUUAGCUGGAUUGGAUUCAUCCUAGCUAAACUGUGAUUAUAGUCAAUAGUGUACAGUCAGUGUGAGGAAGCCUGCUGUGAAGCUCACUGUGGGCCAGUUGCUCUUUCAUUUGCUUCUUAUAUUCCAUGAGCAUAUUCCAUUACUAGAUCCUUCUUGACUAUAGCAGGAGUUUAGACACCUGGUACUCAUAUAAGUACGUCACAUAAGUAACUUAGCCAUCUUUGUCUCAAAUUGCAUCUCAUUUGUAGCGUCAGCCUUGUCCACUUUAUUAUGUGUUGUCUGUAUGGAUAAGAAAAGAUGGAAAUAAUUCUAGUAUUAAUUUCCUGCCUGCUAUUUCCUAAGGUGCAGGCUGUUUCUUUAGAGUCAGGAUGAAGGGCUGAGUACUACAACGAGAUCAGCAUACCUCACAUCACUUUAUCUAUAAUAAGAUCUUAGAUCAAAAUGAUUGAUUUAUUUUCAAAGAAUUUGGGUUUUGGAAAAGUUUGGGUUAUUUGGAUCAGAGUAAUUGUGGCAGGGGACUUAGAUUGAUGUUCGUGCUUCAAUCUUGAUGUUGCUGAGAGAGUCUGUUUGGAGCAAGAAAGGAUGCUUAUGUGAAUUGGGAAAUAGGAUAGAUUUUUAUUUAUUUAUGUUUUUUGAAAGGUUAGACUAUCCAAGCCAAUCCUUUUGAACCAGGGGAAUAAGGGCUGCAAAAAAACUGAUAUCAGUGCACAGAAGAUUUAUGAAUCUCUGUGUGGAGGGGAAGGCAGAUGUAGAUAAAGCAGGCAAGGUUAAAUCAUGCUUUGCCUGUAAUUCUGAGCAUGAUAUCAACGCUGGUUUCUUUGACUGCAAGGUCCUUUGGGAGCCUCGCACACACAGUACAAACAUCAGCUGAUCAGCUAUGUGCCAGGCCAUGCCUUAUUUUAUAAAUGUUUCUCUAAAUAUAUUUAAUCAAUAAUGAGCUCUUGUGUGGAAAAAAUACACCGCUUUCUGUUGAUGUUUUUUGGUGGUUUUUUUCUUUUUCGGCACAGAGGGAUCCCCCUCCCAUAGUUCUGAAAGCUAAAGAUGAGGUAUUUACCUGAGUGUUCAAAAUUAGGGCCAAGACUGUAACAUGGGUUUAGUGCCAGCAUAGUGACAUCUCUCCUUUAAUCCUGUUGCCAUAAACUCACUGGACGAUCCAGCACACACCUAAUGGUAAGGAAAAACCAGACUGUCAGUAUUGCUAACAGCUCUUGUAAUAACAAUGUCAUAAUAGUGUCCUAACCUGGUUUGUUUGUAUUCAGCAAAUCAACUCCAAAUUAUUCUGAUGUUUAGAUAAGAAAACAUUUGGAAGAUUUAUUUUUUGGGAAAGAUAGCUGUUUUUAAUCUCCUUCUCUGUUCAGUAGCUUUGGGUUGUUACAGUGAAGUUUUCCUCUCUGGUUGUGCUUCUUAAAGAAGGUACAUUUUUCUGUUUAGAAAUAACUCUGUAGUGAAGCGAAAGUAUGAUUUGUAAAAGUCAGCAGGGAAAAUAUCCUUUCAUGGGGGACAGUGUGGGAACAUGGAAAGUUAUUCUAAAAACUCUCCUGGAAUUUAGUAAGCUGUGUUUUAGUGGCAUUAUCCUCAGGAUAGGGGACUGGGAGUGAAGGAAGAGGCAGUUAUCAGCUAGAAUAUUUCUGUGGACUUCACUGCUAUAGUGUUUCAGCUCCUCAAAAUAACAGAUUUGUGAGUAGUCCCUUCCAUCUAUCCAUUUCUUUGGAAGCAAAACACUCAGAGCAUGGUUUCAGGGACAUGUUGUUGUCUUGAUUAAUUUUGCCUCUUGAAUUAUUUUUAAAUUCACUCAGAUAAAUGAAUGACACUUGUAACUAUUAUUUUCAUGUACUCAGAAUGGGGGGCCAUAUGCAAAAUGGGAAGAUGCAAUACCAUAGUGCUGAGAUGAGAUUUGAGAUUUUUGAAGGCAAGAUCCUCAAGUGCUAUCGGCUUUGCUGCCUCUAGAAAUAAAUAAGUUGUAUUAUGAAUGAGUUAUGUGAGUUCAGCAGUACUGAGAAAUUUAAAAGCACCAGGCCUGGUAGGACUGAGGUACACAAGGCCUCCUGCACGGCCAAGGACAGUGGGGAUCUAGGAAGAAAAAUAUUUCUAAAUGUCAACCUAAAUGACUGAGGGAUUGAACUGGAAAAGAGGUUAAGAACAUGCCCAAAACACAGAUGAGAUCCAGUUUUUUUUUGUUGCUCUUUUUCCAGACGUGCUUUAAAAAAUAAGGCACCAGCUUUCUCUUUCUGUCUGGGGAAAAAUAAAAACUGAUGUGGCCAGGGGAGGAGUGUGCAGUGUGAAUCCCAAGUGGAUGGGAGUUUCUUCUGCAGCCGUGAGGGAAGGAAAAGUUCAGAAUUCAGAACAUCUCAUUUCUAAGCCUUUCAUGUGAGGCUGGUGCUGAGCAAUUUCAGGAGGCUUGGGGCUGGUUUUCAGCAAGUUCCUGCUCAGUAAAUGACAGAAUCUUACUUUGAGAUACUUAAUUCUCAGAAAGGUGUAUAUAAUCUAUUUUUUUUUUUUACCGACGAAUACAGAGUAAUACUGAUUGAUCAUUACUCUCAAAUUUUCAGUUCUGCAAGAGACUUUGUGGCAUCUUCUGCUUCUUCUCAUCAGAUCUGAUGGCUUUCUGCAUGCCCUGACCACAGUAUAUGAAACAUCUCACUUCCUUCAGUUGGCUUCUGCUGAGCAAAACACCUCCAUGAUGUGUAAUUACUUCAUGUUUCCAAGGCCCUGAACAGAAGUCAUGAAGAAUCUCCCUCCUUCACUUCUUCCUUGUGUUUGCUGGCAUGGAGAAUUAGAGGACUGUGUAGUCACCCAUAUGUUUUAUGUUAUUUAGUUUGGUGGGUUUUUUCUGCUGAGUGUUCCUUGACACCUUUUCAAAGAUGAGCUCACUUCAUUGGCCCUGUUUACUGGUGAGGUAGCAGAGAUGCCUGUCUUGAGUGAAGCUUUGAGGUCUCCUCAUUCAAGCAUAGCUUUUUCUUUACUUGGACUCACACAUGCAGUAAUUAUAAUUAUGGUGCUCUGUCACUCCUUAAAAUAUUUUGAUCAUGAGAUUUUGACAUUUUUUCCUCUUUGUAGCAUCCUUUUUUUUUCUUUCUUUUUUAUUUUUAUUUUUACCAUUUCCUUCAUUACUUGAAGCAAAAAAAGGCCAUUUCAGGAUUUCAGAAUACAUGCAUGCGUAAUUUUCUGUAAGCUGACAUGUAUCUUCCUGCUUUCUUGUGGCUUGAAAUGAAUUCUAGAUUUUUCGAGCGGUGAUAUAAGCCAUUAAACAGUCUUGCUGUCUAACCAGUCACAGUGCUUCUGUAAAUCCUCCUCUUUCUUCAGAUAAAAAUCAGAAACAGCAGAGUGAGAAAACCAGGCUGUUUAGGAAUUAAUAACAUGUUUUAUUGAGCCAGAACAAGUGGGUUGCAGUGAUGUACCAUUGAUGUGCAUCAUCUUUAUUUAAGCUACAGCUGCAGUCAUGAGUUGAUGACCAGCAAUAGUUUGCUGCUAGCUUACAGGUUGCCCAGAGAGGUGGUGGAUGCCCCAUCCCUGGAGGCACUCAGGGUCAGGUUGUAUGGAGCUCUGAGUACCUGGUGGAGCUGUAGGUGUUCUUGUUCAUUGCAGAGGAUUUGGACUAGAUGGUCUUUAAGGAUCCCUUCCAACUCAAAUAAUUCUAUGAUUCUGUGUUCUAUCUCAACUUUGGCAUGCCAUUCCCAGUAAAAACCAUUCCUUCUCCCCUCUGGGAUAACCUCUGUGUGGGAAGCUUGAAGGCCAAAGAGAAGUUGCAGUCUGUAUUUUUGUAGCCAACAUGGCUCUUUUUGGCAGAAUCCUUAUAUUGCCUGGGUAGCUGCCAAGCUUUGCAGUCUCCUCCCAGAACAGUGCCAUACAAUGCAUGUCGAUGUGUUUCCAGCUCAGGAAGCUCCCUAUGCUCUCCGUCCUUCAUAGUGCCCCAGUGAUGGAGAUCAGAAUCUUUGUGUCUUUAUGUGGAGAUCAAAUCUUCUUAUGUCAGUAUCAAGUAGAGGCUGUUGCCUCAAGUGCAAUAUUUAGAACCCUAUCCAACAUUCUUUGUCUUGAGCUUCUUUUAAGGCUCCAUCUCUCCAUCUGCCAAAAGUCUCAAGCCUGGCUAAGAAUCAGGACUAUUCUGUCACAUUUUGUUUUCAUAUUUUCAACAGCAGUAAAUUGGCUAUUUGUUAAUAAAAUCUAGAUAUAAUCAAAAGCUGUGUAUUGAAUUUCUUCAACCAAGUUGUAAUUUACUUUUUGGUGUGUUGC
rnacentral:lncRNA from 1 species